GUUUGGAUAUACUGACAGGAACAAGCACUGUUGAAAAAAGAGGCCAUUCAGAAAUUAGUGAAGUUCUUCCAAGAUUGCCUAGAACAGUAUUUUGGCCAUAUAUUGGACGCUUUCUUGAAGAUAAUCACGAAAUCUUCUAGGCUAAAUACAACAAUGGCUACCAAUGGUUUAACAACAUUGCACAUUGCAAGACUUGACAAUUCAAAUUUGGUGGUCGCAAAAGUGUGGAGACUUGAAUUCAUAUAAAGUUAGGCUUAACAUUAGUGCAAACAGUUGUAUUUUAGUUUAGAUUUAGAGUACACUUAUGUAUGCGUUAUUUGACAAUGCUUAUUUAUGAUAUAUUGAAUGAUACUUAUUUAUAUUAUAUUAAUUAUAAUGUUGUUCAA